rnacentral:rRNA from 1 species
UACGAAGGGGGCGAGCGUUGUUCGGAUUUACUGGGCGUAAAGGGCGCGCAGGCGGCUUUGUUUGUCAGGCGUGAAAGCCCCGGGCUUAACCUGGGAACUGCGUUUGAUACGGCAGGGCUAGAGUUCGGGAGAGGAGAGUGGAAUUCCCAGUGUAGAGGUGAAAUUCGUAGAUAUUCGCAAGAACACCAGUGGCGAAGGCGGCUCACUGGCCCGGUACUGACGCUGAGGUGCGAAAGCGUGGGGAGCAAACAGG